GGGCCCGAUUCUCCUAAUUUUACUUAAGUGACCUUAGAUUGACGUUCGACUCGAUUCGACUGAGACCCAAUCCCGACUCGAUUACGAUUGAAGCGUAUGUGGCAUUCCGCUAUUUUUUCUUUGAAAUAAACGUUUUUACCCUUUUCUGUCAUUCAAUAAUGAAUCAUUUUGUCUGCAAAUGAUUUACGAUUGCAAAAUGAUUGUAGGGUAGGGUGGUAGCCAAUGAACCGCGUGUACACUAUGAACCAUAGUACCUACCGGCCAUACCUAACGUUGCUAGCUGGCGCAAAAAUUAUGUCGAGACUCCCUUGCCACGUCAAGAAGUUUGGUCUAUUCGCCGUGGGUCUGUCGCGAUAUACUCACCCGUGAGCCGCGUCUUAGUCUUCUACUCAAGCAAAAACGACAAAAAAAGCAUGGGGCGAAACACGGUAGGGAGGAAAGCACGUAAAAAAGGGUAUCACACCGCGGAAGCUACACAAAGAGGUAUAGAAAAAACACUUGUCGGGAUUAAGCAUUCGAAUAGCAGCAAAAACCGCAACCUGCUCUAUCCAGUAUUGCGACAGACGAAGUGUUUGUGCGAAGGUAUGAUACAUACAAAGUACAGGAACAAUCCGUCUUGUAGACUAGAGCCCCAUUAUGAUGCAAGUAAAUUUCUUACUGCCCAACAUGAAGACAGCAUAAAGAAAUGUUGAUUGUUACAAUUUGUGAUUUGGACAAUAAAAAAACAUAAGUCUGAAUGUGAUAAAAACACGUCGACUUUAUAAUGCUAAGAGCAUUUUAAUUAAUAUAAAUAUACAAGUACAAAAUGUUUUUUCUUUUUUCCCGGAAAGAGUUUGUGCGUAACUUUUAAGAUGUUCAUAAUUAUUGUUAAAAAUUAAGUUUUAAGGCUGAUUUGUUGGUACGUAUGUAUAACCCGAAACUUAAUAAUUAUAAAAAGUUAUAAAUAGUGUAUUUAUUUUUCUUUAAAACAAAUAAUAAUGUUUUUUUUUAUAUUACCGUGAUUCAUUGUGUACCACAUGGUUCAUUUAGUACCACCCCCCCGGUUCUUUGUGUACCCCUAGGAGUACGCUAUGAACCAUUUCUCAUGUUUUAAAAAAACAUGUAUAAAUUAGGCAACAGCAAAUGUUUUCCACUUAUUUCAACACAAUUUGGCAGCUUAUUAAAUAACCUAUCAUUUGAGACAAAAAUAUUUUCUUAGACUGUAAAAACGAGCGCGCUAGAGAUCUCCAAACUUUUGGUGGUUCAAUGGCUACCACCCUACCCUACAGCAAACUACCGUUUAGACCAAAAUCAUCAAAAUAGCAGACCAAUCGCACACCAAUCAAAUGGCAAUCGAAUACGAUUGGUCUUUUAUUAGUAGCAGAAUGCCCGAUAUGGUUAAAACUGCUAUUACGAUCAUAUUGCGAUUCGAUUUCUAUUCGAUUUUGACGUUAUUAACUUAGGAGAAUCGGGGCCCUGGCCCUUUCGUAUAACUAGUUGUUACUUCUGGCUUUUUAGGGUUCCGUACCCAAAGGGUAAACGGGACCCUAUUGUUUUCGCUCCUCUGUCCGUUCGUCCGUCUGUCACCAGGCUGGAUCUCAUGAACCGUGAUAGUUAGUUAGAGAGUUGAAAUUUUCACAGAUGAUGGAUUUAUGUUGCCGCUAUAACAACAAAUACUAAAAACUAGAAUAAAAUAAAUAUUUUGGGGGGCUCCCAUACAACAAACGUGAUUUUUUGCUCAUUUUCUCAAUAAUGGUACGGAACCCUUCGUGCGCGAUUUCGAUUCGCACUUGGCCGGUUUUUUGAACCUCGUGACAAACUGGUCUUUCAUCCACGGACCGACCAUGCCAGGCAUUGACCUUAUGAUCGGUCGAUUUUUGCGGCUGUUACUUAGACACGAGCUCUUUUUUUGGUGAAUUGAAAGACAAUUUAAAUAAACUUAUUUUAUUAAUCUAAUAAAAAAAUAUGUAUAAGUAAAGUCUAAAGAAAACAAAUUUUGAGGUAAUAAAGAGUAUUUUGCAAGCCUUCCUGAAAAGUCAAAAGUUUACACAAAAAUCUUGCGAGGAGUUACAACAAAAUGCAACAUUUUUAAA